GGGCCGGUAGCUCAGCCUGGAACUGCGGUGGGCAGUAGAGCACCUGACUUUUAGCGGACAGUGUCCGUCGAAGGCAUCAGGUGGUCGCGGGUUCGAAUCCCGUCCGGCCCA
rnacentral:tRNA from 1 species